GGAAACACCAGUUGGAAAAGGCAAUGAUGAUGGUCCACUACGAGCAUUCCUCAAGCGUCAGGCCAGGAAGUUAAGGCGGUUAUCGAAUCUUCUCGGUUGCCGUGAUCCCGAAAUUGAUGAACCAUCUGCCUCUAGGUCUGGUACACCAUCAGACCCCUCAUCUCACCAUCAGAGGGACGAUGUGAGUUCCUCAUAUGCUUAUCAGGAUGAUGAGGGUGCGGUCACCCAAGAGGGCGAUGAGCUUGAUGAUGACAUGACUUUGGCGGACGCUCAACUUUGGUCCCCAUAUGUGUUCAAGCCUAGGCAGCCCAGACGCCGGUACACGCCCAACGACUUUGACAACAGAGGCAACCCAAAGGUGGUCGUAGGGACCUCGCGGAUGGCUAGCUUGGAUCAUGAGGCGGAGGCGGAGGCGGA